rnacentral:rRNA from 1 species
UACAGAGGUCUCAAGCAUUGUUCGGAUUCAUUGGGCGUAAAGGGUGCGUAGGUGGCGCCGUAAGUCGGGUGUGAAAUUUCGGAGCUUAACUCCGAAACUGCAUUCGAUACUGCGGUGCUUGAGGACUGGAGAGGAGACUGGAAUUCAUGGUGUAGCAGUGAAAUGCGUAGAGAUCAUGAGGAAGACCAGUGGCGAAGGCGGGUCUCUGGACAGUUCCUGACGCUGAGGCACGAAGGUCAGGGGAGCAAACGGG